UGAUGAUGAUGAUGAUGAUGAUGAUGCUGAUGAUGCUGAUGAUGAUGGCAGUGGUGGUGGUUAUGACAACGAUCAUCAUCGUCAUCACCAUCGGCAGCAUCACCAUCAUCAUCCUCC
rnacentral:pre_miRNA from 1 species